rnacentral:rRNA from 1 species
UACGUAGGGGGCAAGCGUUGUCCGGAAUCAUUGGGCGUAAAGCGCGUGUAGGCGGUCCGGUAAGUCCGCUGUGAAAGUCGGGGGCUUAACCCUCGGAUGCCGGUGGAAACUGUCGGGCUGGAGUCCGGAAGAGGCGAGUGGAAUUCCUGGUGUAGCGGUGAAAUGCGCAGAUAUCAGGAAGAACACCUAUGGCGAAGGCAGCACUCUGGGACGGUACUGACGCUGAGACGCGAAAGCGUGGGGAGCGAACAGG